rnacentral:rRNA from 1 species
AGUGAACGCUGGCGGUAGGCCUAACACAUGCAAGUCGAACGGCAGCACAGAGGAGCUUGCUCCUUGGGUGGCGAGUGGCGGACGGGUGAGGAAUACAUCGGAAUCUACUCUGUCGUGGGGGAUAACGUAGGGAAACUUACGCUAAUACCGCAUACGACCUACGGGUGAAAGCAGGGGACCUUCGGGCCUUGCGCGAUUGAAUGAGCCGAUGUCGGAUUAGCUAGUUGGCGGGGUAAAGGCCCGCCAAGGCGACGAUCCGUAGCUGGUCUGAGAGGAUGAUCAGCCACACUGGAACUGAGACACGGUCCAGACUCCUACGGGAGGCAGCAGUGGGGAAUAUUGGACAAUGGGCGCAAGCCUGAUCCAGCCAUGCCGCGUGGGUGAAGAAGGCCUUCGGGUUGUAAAGCCCUUUUGUUGGGAAAGAAAUCCAGCUGGCUAAUACCCGGUUGGGAUGACGGUACCCAAAGAAUAAGCACCGGCUAACUUCGUGCCAGCAGCCGCCGUAA